rnacentral:rRNA from 1 species
GAUGAACGCUGGCGGCGUGCCUAAUACAUGCAAGUCGAGCGAACGGACGAGACGCUUGCUUCUCUGAUGUUAGCGGCGGACGGGUGAGUAACACGUGGAUAACCUACCUAUAAGACUGGGAUAACUUCGGGAAACCGGAGCUAAUACCGGAUAAUAUUUUGAACCGCAUGGUUCAAAAGUGAAAGACGGUCUUGCUGUCACUUAUAGAUGGAUCCGCGCUGCAUUAGCUAGUUGGUAGGGUAACGGCUUACCAAGGCGACGAUGCGUAGCUGACCUGAGAGGAUGAGCAGUCACACUGGAACGGAGACACGGUCCAGAGUCCUACGGGAGGAAGAAGUGGGGAAUAUUGGACAAUGGGCGAAAGCCUGAUCCAGCAAUGCCGCGUGUGUGAAGAAGGUAUUCGGAUUGUAAAGCACUUUAAGUUGGGAGGAAGGGCAGUAAGUGAAUACCUUGCUGUUUUGACGUUACCAACAGAAUAAGCACCGGCUAACUUCGUG